rnacentral:tRNA from 1 species
GAACGAAAAUCCGUUGGUUUCACAGGACCGUGAGGGUUCGACUCCCUCUAUCCCCAACA